UACGUAGGGACCGAGCGUUGUCCGGAAUCAUUGGGCGUAAAGAGCGUGUAGGCGGCUUGUUAAGUCUUGCGUGAAAUCUCGGGGCUCAACCCCGAGCGGUCGUGAGAAACUGGCAGGCUAGAGUGCGGGAGAGGAGAGUGGAAUUCCUGGUGUAGCGGUGAAAUGCGCAGAUAUCAGGAAGAACACCAAUGGCGAAGGCAGCUCUCUGGGACGGUACUGACGCUGAGACGCGAAAGCGUGGGGAGCGAACAGG
rnacentral:rRNA from 1 species